GAUCAUGGCUCAGGAUAAACGCUGGCGGCGUGCUUAACACAUUCAAGUCGAACGAAGCACCGAGUUUGGAGACUUCGGUCAAAGAACGAGGAUGACUUAGUGGCGGACGGGUGAGUAACGCGUGAGCAACCUGCCUGUUAGUGGGGAAUAACGUUUGGAAACGAACGCUAAUACCGCAUAAUACACAGACAACGCAUGUUGACUGUGUCAAAGAUAUAUUGCUGACAGAUGGGCUCGCG
rnacentral:rRNA from 1 species